GGAGGGAUGAAGAGAUGAAGGGAUGGAAGGACCGAUGAUCCAGCCCUAAAGACGACGGACUGGCAGCACAGAGCGAAGACUGGCUGGCCUUCUGUUAAGUGUAGCUUAGAGCUGUUUUCCAUGAUUUCCCAGUGCUGGAGAUAAACUGGCAGCUUCUGCUCUUUCUGGAUCUGACUGGAUCUGUAAGAGUCUGGAAAAAGCUCCGGACUGAUAAAGGGAAAUGCUCGGUGCUGCUUUUAACCAUGAAGAUGAUGAUGAAGGUGGUGGAGGUGUGUAUGAUGAUGAUGAUGAUGAAGAAGUGCUGAACAUAGUCUCCAUGGCCUCAAACACAUGGAGCUUCGACAUGUGCCUAACAUACGACCACCUGCCCACCUCUCCGUCUGACCAGAACACAGAAGAGCACGGAGGACAUAAAAAGUGCCUGUGUGAGCUGCUCCAUUAUGAUUGCACUGUGAAAGGAGGUUGAUGCUAUCUUUGGUUAUCUAGCUGUAUGAGUGUUUCUAUGCCGUCAUAAAGCUAGAUAACCGAAAGUAGGAACGGCCUCCUCUGCUGCAGGACAGCAGCACACGCGCACGUGCCCGGUGGAGCCCCUGUAAGAUCACAGCUCCUCCCUGAUGCAGCGUCUCUGUGAGAGACCGGAGGACCAUUCACUGGAACAAAACCAUCUGACCAGCCCGCACCCCCCACCCCAUCCGACUCCCACCAUCAACGGAAGCGUUUAGUGCCAUGUGUGCCCCCAGAGAGGGGGCCGCGGGAAGGGGGAGAAAAAAGAAGAAGAAGACGACGACAAGCAAGAGGCUGCAGCUUGUGUGCCAGUGGGGACAAAGAGGCUGCUGCCAGUUGCCACGGACCACCCCCUCCACCCUCCACAAACCCCCAAGCCCACCCCCUCCACCCCCCAGAUGCUGAAGAUUGGAGCCCAGAACGAAAGGGUUGUGUGCGAGGAAGCCAUCUUGAUGGAGAAGCUGGCUGCCUGCUUCCUAAAAUGGCUGUGUUGGCAUGAGAACCAAGUUGAUGAUACCCUGCUUCGCUGUGCAGUUCCAUUGUUCCUGACCCAACGUCUUCCAUCAGUUCCAUCCGUUCCACACCUUCCAUCAAUUUGACCUGAAUGAAGAUGACUGGAUUGGCCACCACAACCUGCUCAAACCUAUUGGACAAUCAAAUGAACUGAACUGCAGUGCAAGUACUAUUAGAGGAAUGACAUAAGACGAAUUUGAGCAAAUCUUGGUACUUGAACCUAAUGACAAUCUAUAUAAAAACAUAUGCAUGCUUCAAGCUGCAUAUCGUUGUUCUACAAAGGCCAGGUGCGUUCAGACUGCAGAGCCCCGACCGACGAGAAUGUGCCUUAAUGUGUGAACUGUUUACAAUGAAAGAGUAGUGUGCGGCUAUUAAUAGAGUAGACGAUACUGUACAGUGAGUGCUAAUGAACGUGUGAGUCAUUUCUGUUCCGCUUCUGUUUUAAAUGUGCUUUUAAUGUCUCUCUGUGACUAAAUGAACUGUACGUCCUCCCAUGAUGAACAUUAUAUCCAUUAAAACUUGUCUUUCCUGUGAGGGAUCUCAAGUCAUACAGGAAAUGGUGCUCUUUGCUUAAUAAUCAGGAUAUUACUCGUAUUACUCUGGCACGUGUUAAAUACCCAAAUGAGGAGCUGAAAUCUCAUUCUCUGUGUGUUAAACAGCAAUGUAUGAAAUGGAAUCAAUAAAGGUGUGCAAUAUGAAAGUGA